GUGAGGAAUAUUGCGCAAUGGAGGCAACUCUGACGCAGCCAUGCCGCGUGCAGGAAGAAGGCGCUACGCGUUGUAAACUGCUUUUAACCGGGAAGAAACCCCAGGACGUGUCCUGGGUUGACGGUACCGGAGGAAUAAGCACCGGCUAACUUCGUGCCAGCAGCCGCGGUAAUACGAAGGGUGCAAGCGUUAUCCGGAUUCAUUGGGUUUAAAGGGUGCGUAGGCGGAGCGUUAAGUCAGUGGUGAAAUCCUGCAGCUUAACUGUAGACUUGCCAUUGAUACUGGCGCUCUUGAGUGCGCUUGGAGUGGGCGGAAUGUGCCGUGUAGCGGUGAAAUGCUUAGAUAUGGCACAGAACACCAAUUGCGAAGGCAGCUCACUAAGGCGAUACUGACGCUGAGGCACGAAAGCGUGGGGAUCGAACAGGAUUAGAUACCCUAGUAGUCC
rnacentral:rRNA from 1 species